rnacentral:lncRNA from 1 species
UGCAAAGCUCCAGUCAGACAAACUGAGGAAGUCCUAGAGAGCUACGACCAUACAGCGUAGGGCCUAUAAUUAAUAAUAUUGUAUCAUAUACUUUGCUAAAAGGGUAGACUCCACAGUUUGGAUCUUAACUGUCCCCCACAAGUUCUGGAAACUUAAGAAGGCAAGGUCUUGUGGGAGUUCUGGUCGUCGAGGAUCUGCCCUUGAAGGGGAUAGUUGACCCCUGACCCUUCCUCUUCUCUCUUCAUGUCCCAGCUGUGAGAUGAGCAGCAUUACUCUGACACACUUCUGCCAGGAUGUGCUUAUCACAUGUCUAAAAGCAAUAGGGCCAAUGCACCAUGGACUGACACCUCCAAACUCUGAGCCCAAAUAAACCUUUCUUUUUUAGAAGUUGACCUAUCUCAGCUAUUUGUCACAGUAAUGGGAAGCUGACAAAUCCAUAGAUCCUAUGUUAAGUGUUCUUAUUGUAAAAUAAUUAACAAUAAUGAUAAAGAGGGCAAGAAGAAAUUUUUGGAGGUGACAGACACAUUUAAGUUACUGACCG